UACGGGGGGGGCAAGCGUUGUUCGGAAUUACUGGGCGUAAAGGGCUCGUAGGCGGCCAACUAAGUCAGACGUGAAAUCCCUCGGCUUAACCGGGGAACUGCGUCUGAUACUGGAUGGCUUGAAUCCGGGAGAGGGAUGCGGAAUUCCAGGUGUAGCGGUGAAAUGCGUAGAUAUCUGGAGGAAUACCGGUGGCGAAGGCGGCAUCCUGGACCGACAUUGACGCUGAACGGCGAAAGCUAGGGGAGCAAACGGG
rnacentral:rRNA from 1 species